UAGGGAAUCUUCGGCAAUGGGGGCAACCCUGACCGAGCAACGCCGCGUGAGUGAAGAAGGUUUUCGGAUCGUAAAGCUCUGUUGUAAGAGAAGAACGUGUGUGAGUGUGGAAAGUUCACACAGUGACGGUAACUUACCAGAAAGGGACGGCUAACUACGUGCCAGCAGCCGCGGUAAUACGUAGGUCCCGGGCGUUGUCCGGAUUUAUUGGGCGUAAAGCGAGCGCAGGCGGUUUAAUAAGUCUGAAGUUAAAGGCAGUGGCUUAACCAUUGUUCGCUUUGGAAACUGUUAAACUUGAGUGCAGAAGGGGAGAGUGGAAUUCCAUGUGUAGCGUUGAAAUGCGUAGAUAUAUGGAGGGACACAGGUGGCGAAAGCGGGGCUCUGGUCUGUAACUGACGCUGAGGCUCGAAAGCGUGGGGAGCAAAGAGG
rnacentral:rRNA from 1 species